UACGGAGGGUGCGAGCGUUGUCCGGAAUCACUGGGCGUAAAGGGCGCGUAGGCGGCUUCUCAAGCAUGUGGUGAAAGUCCGGGGCUCAACCCCGGAUCGGCCGUGCGGACUGGGUAGCUCGAGUUCUGUAGAGGCGGGUGGAAUUCCGGGUGUAGCGGUGGAAUGCGUAGAGAUCCGGAAGAACACCGGUGGCGAAGGCGGCAUCCUGGACCAAUUCUGACGCUGAGGAGCGAAAGCCAGGGGAGCAAACGGG
rnacentral:rRNA from 1 species